rnacentral:rRNA from 1 species
CCUACGGGAGGCAGCAGUAGGGAAUCUUCCGCAAUGGACGAAAGUCUGACGGAGCAACGCCGCGUGAGUGGUGAAGGCUUUCGGGUCGUAAAACUCUGUUGUUAGGGAAGAACAAGUGCUAGUUGAAUAAGCUGGCACCUUGACGGUACCUAACCAGAAAGCCACGGCUAACUACGUGCCAGCAGCCGCGGUAAUACGUAGGUGGCAAGCGUUAUCCGGAAUUAUUGGGCGUAAAGCGCGCGCAGGUGGUUUCUUAAGUCUGAUGUGAAAGCCCACGGCUCAACCGUGGAGGGUCAUUGGAAACUGGGAGACUUGAGUGCAGAAGAGGAAAGUGGAAUUCCAUGUGUAGCGGUGAAAUGCGUAGAGAUAUGGAGGAACACCAGUGGCGAAGGCGACUUUCUGGUCUGUAACUGACACUGAGGCGCGAAAGCGUGGGGAGCAAACAGGAUUAGAUACCCUGGUAGUCCACGCCGUAAACGAUGAGUGCUAAGUGUUAGAGGGUUUCCGCCCUUUAGUGCUGAAGUUAACGCAUUAAGCACUCCGCCUGGGGAGUACGGCCGCAAGAUUAAAACUCAAAUGAAUUGACGGA